rnacentral:rRNA from 1 species
UGGGGAAUUUUGGACAAUGGGCGAAAGCCUGAUCCAGCAAUGCCGCGUGUGUGAAGAAGGCCUUCGGGUUGUAAAGCACUUUUGUCCGGAAAGAAAUCCUUGGCUCUAAUACAGUCGGGGGAUGACGGUACCGGAAGAAUAAGCACCGGCUAACUACGUGCCAGCAGCCGCGGUAAUACGUAGGGUGCAAGCGUUAAUCGGAAUUACUGGGCGUAAAGCGUGCGCAGGCGGUUUGCUAAGACCGAUGUGAAAUCCCCGGGCUCAACCUGGGAACUGCAUUGGUGACUGGCAGGCUAGAGUAUGGCAGAGGGGGGUAGAAUUCCACGUGUAGCAGUGAAAUGCGUAGAGAUGUGGAGGAAUACCGAUGGCGAAGGCAGCCCCCUGGGCCAAUACUGACGCUCAUGCACGAAAAGCGUGGGGGAGCAAAACAGGAUUAGAUACCCUGGUAGUCCACGCCCUAAACGAUGUCAACUAGUUGUUGGGGAUUCAUUUCCUUAGUAACGUAGCUAACGCGUGAAGUUGACCGCCUGGGGGAGUA